rfam:Gossypium raimondii Chr01_contig_106, whole genome shotgun sequence.
UGUUAAAAAUUUUAUUUAUUUGUACUCUUAAAAAUUAACAUGACUAAACAAAUAACCAAACAGUGACAUAUGAUGUGUCAGGUGUAUCUCAUGUUAACAUACAAGGACCAAUUUUUAAUUACAAAAAUAAAUAAAAUUUUUAACA